rnacentral:rRNA from 1 species
AGUGAACGCUGGCGGUAGGCCUAACACAUGCAAGUCGAACGGCAGCACAGUAAGAGCUUGCUCUUACGGGUGGCGAGUGGCGGACGGGUGAGGAAUACAUCGGAAUCUACUUUUUCGUGGGGGAUAACGUAGGGAAACUUACGCUAAUACCGCAUACGACCUACGGGUGAAAGCAGGGGAUCUUCGGACCUUGCGCGAUUGAAUGAGCCGAUGUCGGAUUAGCUAGUUGGCGGGGUAAAGGCCCACCAAGGCGACGAUCCGUAGCUGGUCUGAGAGGAUGAUCAGCCACACUGGAACUGAGACACGGGCCAGACUCCUACGGGAGGCAGCAGUGGGGAAUAUUGGGAAAUGGGCGCAAGCCUGAUCCAGCCAUACCGCGGGGGUGAAGAAGGCCUUCGGGUUGGAAAGCCCUUUUGUUGGGGAAAGAAAAGCAGCAGGUUAAUACCCCGCUGUUCUGACGGUACCCAAAGAAUAAGCACCGGCUAACUUCGUG